rnacentral:rRNA from 1 species
CAAACUUGGUCAUUUAGAGGAAGUAAAAGUCGUAACAAGGUCUCCGUUGGUGAACCAGCGGAGGGAUCAUUACCGAGUUAUACAACUCAUCAACCCUGUGAACAUACCUAAAACGUUGCUUCGGCGGGAACAGACGGCCCUGUAACAACGGGCCGCCCCCGCCAGAGGACCCCUAACUCUGUUUUUAUAAUGUUUUUCUGAGUAAACAAGCAAAUAAAUUAAAACUUUCAACAACGGAUCUCUUGGCUCUGGCAUCGAUGAAGAACGCAGCGAAAUGCGAUAAGUAAUGUGAAUUGCAGAAUUCAGUGAAUCAUCGAAUCUUUGAACGCACAUUGCGCCCGCCAGUAUUCUGGCGGGCAUGCCUGUUCGAGCGUCAUUACAACCCUCAGGCCCCCGGGCCUGGCGUUGGGGAUCGGCGGAAGCCCCCUGUGGGCACACGCCGUCCCUCAAAUACAGUGGCGGUCCCGCCGCAGCUUCCAUUGCGUAGUAGCUAACACCUCGCAACUGGAGAGCGGCGCGGCCAUGCCGUAAAACACCCAACUUCUGAAUGUUGACCUCGAAUCAGGUAGGAAUACCCGCUGAACUUAAGCAUAUCAAUAAGCGGAGG